rnacentral:ncRNA from 1 species
ACCUAUAUAGUGAUGUAUAGCUGAAUUAUCAGAAGUCAGUAGACGGCAUAGUACUUUCUCUAAUCGCGAUAGCAAAGGGAAGGA